CCUACGGGAGGCUGCAGUGGGGAAUAUUGCGCAAUGGGCGAAAGCCUGACGCAGCGACGCCGCGUGAGGGAUGAAGGUCUUCGGAUCGUAAACCUCUGUCAGCAGGGAAGAACGGUCACUGUGCUAAUCCGCAGUGAAUUUACUUUACCUGCAAAGGAAGCACCGUCUAACUCCGUGCCAGCAGCCGCUGUAAUACGGAGGGUGCGAGCGUUAAUCGGAAUUACUGGUCGUAAAGGGCUCGUAGGCGGUAUGUCAAGUCAAGGGUGAAAUCCCCGGGCACAACGGGGGAACUGCCUUUGAAACUGGCAAAGUGGAGUGUGGGAGAGGAUAGUGGAAUUCCAGGUGUAGGGGUGAAAUCCGUAGAUAUCUGGAGGAACAUCAGUGGCGAAGGCGACUAUCUGGCACAUAACUGACGCUGAGGAGCGAAAGCGUGGGUAGCAAACAGGAUUAGAUACCCGAGUAGUC
rnacentral:rRNA from 1 species